AUGAAGAGUUUGAUCCUGGCUCAGGAUGAACGCUAGCGGCAGGCCUAACACAUGCAAGUCGAACGGUAACAGGAAUUAGCUUGCUAAUUUGCUGACGAGUGGCGCACGGGUGCGUAACGCGUAUACAAUCUACCUUUUGCUGAGGGAUAGCCCAGAGAAAUUUGGAUUAAUACCUCAUGGUAUUAUUGAUAGGCAUCUAUUAAUAAUUAAAGGUUACGGCAAAAGAUGAGUAUGCGUCCCAUUAGCUAGUUGGCGAGGUAACGGCUCACCAAGGCAACGAUGGGUAGGGGUCCUGAGAGGGAGAUCCCCCACACUGGUACUGAGACACGGACCAGACUCCUACGGGAGGCAGCAGUGAGGAAUAUUGGACAAUGGGCGAGAGCCUGAUCCAGCCAUGCCGCGUGCAGGAAGACUGCCCUAUGGGUUGUAAACUGCUUUUAUACAGGAAGAAUAAGCCUUACGUGUAAGGUGAUGACGGUACUGUAAGAAUAAGGACCGGCUAACUCCGUGCCAGCAGCCGCGGUAAUACGGAGGGUCCGAGCGUUAUCCGGAAUUAUUGGGUUUAAAGGGUCCGUAGGCGGAUGAUUAAGUCAGGGGUGAAAGUUUGCAGCUCAACUGUAAAAUUGCCUUUGAUACUGGUUAUCUUGAGUUGUAUUGAAGUAGGCGGAAUAUGUAGUGUAGCGGUGAAAUGCAUAGAUAUUACAUAGAACACCAAUUGCGAAGGCAGCUUACUAAGUACUAACUGACGCUGAUGGACGAAAGCGUGGGUAGCGAACAGGAUUAGAUACCCUGGUAGUCCACGCCGUAAACGAUGGAUACUAGCUGUUCGGGGCCUUGAGCUCUGAGCGGCUAAGCGAAAGUGAUAAGUAUCCCACCUGGGGAGUACGUUCGCAAGAAUGAAACUCAAAGGAAUUGACGGGGGCCCGCACAAGCGGUGGAGUAUGUGGUUUAAUUCGAUGCAACGCGAAGAACCUUACCAGGGUUUGACAUCCUGCGAAUCUCUUGGAAACUUGAGAGUGCCUUCGGGAGCGCAGUGACAGGUGGUGCAUGGCUGUCGUCAGCUCGUGUCGUGAGAUGUU
rnacentral:rRNA from 1 species